rnacentral:lncRNA from 1 species
UGUUAAUGACAGCGUCAAGAAUGAUUUGGAUGGGAUUAGCAUCGGUGAAAAGGUGGAUGAUCUCCAUAUCGUGCUUGACGAUGCAAACAACCAUCAACCUUUUUACGGUUGUUUCUCCAUAGCAUGCUUGACGAUGCGAACAACCAUCCAGUACUGAUGCAUCCAGUUCUCAUGAGUACCCCCUAGAAGCAGAAUGGACAGAACAGAGACCCAGCAACAUCAGCUUCUGUAGUCUUCUAAAGAGCAGCUGAUCCGAGGUACCCCUUUGGGGAGCCAACAUCGUCACCAGCAUGAAAAGACCCAAGAUACAGGUCCGAUGGUGGAUUAUCCAGUGAACUUGCAGCGAUGUGGAUUUCCAAAGGACCUGCAGCAGCACUUUCUGAAUAUUAUCAUAAUUUAUGGAGUUCCACAAUAGCGGCAGGUUCAGGUAGCAACUCAUUUGUAACUAUUUGGUUGAAAAGGUUGAGUAGUUGAGUCACAUAUAUAACCUCAUGAAACUAAUAUAAAGAUUACUAAAAAUUGGAUCGUCAAUGUAUACGACCUCCUAAAUAGUUCUACUCAAAAAUCAUAUGAUUAGCAUAUUUAAUGCUUUAAUCAAUUGUAAAAGACUAUCCUGAAACUUAACCAAAAAAAAUUCAAGCAUUAACCACAUUUCCAUAUUAGAAAUCUGUGACAUUCUUCAUGAGAAACAAUAAAAUAUUCUUAAUUUACCCUCAAAAUUCUCUUAAUAUGCCAUUUCACAAACAUUAGAAGCAAAAACUUAAUAUCAUGGUCAAAGAAUUUACUUAACCACAUUGAAAAAAUCUACGUUGAGCUCCAAAGGGUCUUUGGACACAAUCAAGAAGCCCAUGAUAUUCGAAUAAUAAUAAUAAGUAAUAAGAAUCCCAUGCCAUUUUUUUCCAAAAAGACACCAGUUAUAUUUUUUAUAAAGCCCCAAUUCGUUUUUCUAUUGGCUUUCUAUAACCCAUGAUGGGUAACCCAUGAUAGGUAAUAAAGUAAGAGUCUAAGGGGCUGUUUGGCUACCAAACAGCCCCUAAGAAAGUAUCCGGUGUCAGUGAAGCUAGAUUUGUGUGAAACUAUAAUUAACUAAUAAUAUUUUAAAAAUGUCAGGGUUGUGACAACAUAGUAAUCAUCUAAGGGUUGUGACGACAUACUUGGUAGCGCCACCAUGCAUAUAGCGGAGAUGCAUACACAUCUGAAUCGUGCCCAAAGCAAUCUUCAUUCUUCUUGAGCAGGUCAACGUAGCACAUACUCAUUUUUUAUCACAUAAACUUUGAUGAACUGAUAUCAGUAUUGCAAACAGAACCAAAUAACCAAAUAAGUGCAUAACAGAACCAAAUAACCAAAUUUGAUUUCGUUUUAGUUUAAUGGUUUUCUAACCAUUAAUCAAUCAAAAACAAAGACCAGAAAGUUCAGGACUUAC